rnacentral:rRNA from 1 species
UGCGUAGGCGGGCUAAUAAGUCAGUGGUGAAAUCUUUCGGCUCAACCGAGAAACUGCCAUUGAUACUGUUAGUCUUGAGUUCGGUUGAGGUAGGCGGAAUGUGUAAUGUAGCGGUGAAAUGCUUAGAUAUUACACAGAACACCAAUUGCGUAGGCAGCUUACUAGACCGACACUGACGCUGAGGCACGAAAGCGUGGGGAGCGAACAGGAUUAGAUACCUGGUAGUC